AAAUAGCAAACCACUCCAGUAUCUCUGCCAAGAAAACCCCGAAUGGAGUCAAGAAGAGUUGGACAGAACUAAAAAAACAGCAGAACGACACCAAGGGAAUCCAUUAUAUAAGAACCCAAGAUUCCUGGGGACUAUGAGAUCUAUAAGAUCAGGACUGUAUCUUAUACAAACCUUGGAUCUUUUCUAGUGCUUGGCAUAGUACUCUGCACAUGAAAUAAACCUGCUUUAUACCAAUACAAUCUCUGUGGCUUUGGUGGAGGCGAGAGGGAAGAAGCGUUUAUACAUUUUGAAUCUAGUGGCAAGGAUGAAGAACGGCCCCUCCAAUCCCUUUUGGUUUGGGGGGAAUGAGAUUUAAAGCUGUGCAUGGGAACUGGAACCUAGCAGUCUGGGCAAGAAGAAAAUAUCCAAAAAAAGAAAAGAAAAAAAGGAAGAAGAAAAUAUGCCGUUGAUUGAUUCAACCAUGAGAGUAAG